AGUGAACGCUGGCGGUAGGCCUAACACAUGCAAGUCGAACGGCAGCACAGUAAGAGCUUGCUCUUACGGGUGGCGAGUGGCGGACGGGUGAGGAAUACAUCGGAAUCUACUUUUUCGUGGGGGAUAACGUAGGGAAACUUACGCUAAUACCGCAUACGACCAACGGGUGAAAGCAGGGGAUCUUCGGACCUUGCGCGAUUGAAUGAGCCGAUGUCGGAUUAGCUAGUUGGCGGGGUAAAGGCCCACCAAGGCGGCGAUCCGUAGCUGGUCUGAGAGGAUGAUCAGCCACACUGGAACUGAGACACGGUCCAGACUCCUACGGGAGGCAGCAGUGGGGAAUAUUGGACAAUGGGCGCAAGCCUGAUCCAGCCAUACCGCGUGGGUGAAGAAGGCCUUCGGGUUGUAAAGCCCUUUUGUUGGGAAAGAAAAGCAGCAGGUUAAUACCCCGCUGUUCUGACGGUACCCAAAGAAUAAGCACCGGCUAACUUCGUG
rnacentral:rRNA from 1 species